rnacentral:rRNA from 2 species
CGCAGGGCGCCUGCUAUAAUGCAAGUCGAACGCACUCUCGUUAGAUUGAAGAAGCUUGCUUCUGAUUGAUAACAUUUGAGUGAGUGGCGGACGGGUGAGUAACACGUGGGUAACCUGCCCUAAAGUGGGGGAUAACAUUUGGAAACAGAUGCUAAUACCGCAUAAAACCUAGCACCGCAUGGUGCAAGGUUGAAAGAUGGUUUCGGCUAUCACUUUAGGAUGGACCCGCGGUGCAUUAGUUAGUUGGUGAGGUAAAGGCUCACCAAGACCGUGAUGCAUAGCCGACCUGAGAGGGUAAUCGGCCACACUGGGACUGAGACACGGCCCAGACUCCUACGGGAGGCAGCAGUAGGGAAUCUUCCACAAUGGACGAAAGUCUGAUGGAGCAACGCCGCGUGAGUGAAGAAGGUUUUCGGAUCGUAAAACUCUGUUGUUGGAGAAGAACGUAUUUGAUAGUAACUGAUCAGGUAGUGACGGUAUCCAACCAGAAAGCCACGGCUAACUACGUGCCAGCAGCCGCGGUAAUACGUAGGUGGCAAGCGUUGUCCGGAUUUAUUGGGCGUAAAGCGAGCGCAGGCGGUUUCUUAAGUCUGAUGUGAAAGCCUUCGGCUCAACCGAAGAAGUGCAUCGGAAACUGGGAAACUUGAGUGCAGAAGAGGACAGUGGAACUCCAUGUGUAGCGGUGAAAUGCGUAGAUAUAUGGAAGAACACCAGUGGCGAAGGCGGCUGUCUGGUCUGUAACUGACGCUGAGGCUCGAAAGCAUGGGUAGCAAACAGGAUUAGAUACCCUGGUAGUCCAUGCCGUAAACGAUGAGUGCUAGGUGUUGGAGGGUUUCCGCCCUUCAGUGCCGCAGCUAACGCAUUAAGCACUCCGCCUGGGGAGUACGACCGCAAGGUUGAAACUCAAAGGAAUUGACGGGGGCCCGCACAAGCGGUGGAGCAUGUGGUUUAAUUCGAAGCAACGCGAAGAACCUUACCAGGUCUUGACAUCCUUUGACCACUCUAGAGAUAGAGCUUUCCCUUCGGGGACAAAGUGACAGGUGGUGCAUGGUGUCGUCAGCUCGUGUCGUGAGAUGUUGGGUUAGUCCCGCACGAGCGCAACCCUUAUUACUAGUGCCAGCAUUUAGUGGGCACUCUAGUGGAGACUGCGGUGACAACGAGAGGUGGGACGACGUCAAUCAUCAUGCCUUAUGACUGGACUACCACUGGCUACAUGAAUGUACACGAGUCCGCGGAGACCCGGCAAGUUAGCCUAAUCCUCUUU